UUAUUCUCCCCCCUACUGUCCUCGUGAUGUACCUUUUUCUGUUCUACAUGUGUCUGCCCUCCUUCGCGCUUGAUUUCAGUUCGUCGUGAUUGUCACCGGUCAUGGACGUUCAUGGCUGGGGGUGGUUCAGUUCGCUGGGUUUGGCAGGAAAGUUUGUCAUAGCUUAGUGCAAUCCUGGCGAGUUUUUUGAGUGGUUCAUCGAGAAAGGUUCUUGAAUUUGUUGCAGACACCUCUCAGCACGUUUUCCCCAAAUUUCCGUCACCAAGUCUGCCUCAACAUUAUCUUGGAUGUAGAUCUCCUUUUGUCUUGGAUGUAGAUUUCUUUUUUUAGUCUGAGUUAAUUGUCACUACAGUAUGUUUAUUGUAAGAAUUUAGAGGCCCGAGGAAUGUUGCAAAUGAUCAGGGUUAGUUAACUGAAUGAUUGGUUUUUCCUCUGUAGGGGUACUAUUGUGAAGAAACUAUUGAGUAUCAUUUGUCAGCUUGAUUUUGGUGGCUUAUUUUAGAUUAGUUAUGGAUGUUUUUUUUUUGCUUAGAGUUGAGCGCUUACCUGAAGAAUGUUUUGUGGAUCAUCUGAAAGUAAUGAUAUGCAAUAAUUAACAAGCCAGUAGAUGGCCUGAAUCUAUUUAUAUGCAAUGAAAUUUGUUCCAGAUAACCCUCUGUUAUUCUGCACUUUCCUUUUUUGAGGGUUUCUUACCACCAACUAUGCUAUAUAUGUCGCACGCCUGCCUAAACUGACUGCCUCUGGCUGCAAGCGAGUGAUCACUGAUAUACCCAUAUGUGAACUCAGAGGGGAUGUAGUCCUAAAUUGAAUUAAAUUUAGUUUUUUUUUACAGAUUUUUUUAAAUGUAGUUCAUGUUAUGGUGUUUUCCUCUCUGCGUUCUGUUUGAUGUAGCAUGGAGGAAGGAAUAUUUUUGAAUCUUUUUUUCUUAGUAAGUACUUUUUGCAUCCUGAAAAACACGUGUAUAAUCUAUGUGUUUAUAAAAGCCAGAGGCGGCAUGUAACUCACAACUCAUGUUUUUUGUAGUCAUUUUUCUAAGCCAUGUGUGAUGCUAUCUAGUUUUUGGUACUUGAUUAUUUUAGUUUUCAUGCAUGUCCUCUAGAUUAUUCAGGUUCAGUAAAUCUUUUUUCAUUCUGGAUAUGGUUUAGUGUCGCUAUGUUUUGCAUUCAGGGUCAAUCAAACAUUAAAAAAUUAGAGCCCUGUGAUCUAGUUUCUCUGAAUUUUGUUUUUGUCCCUGCACAUACCUGAAGACUCGACAUGUACCACAAGACGGGCCGCCUCCAUGGAUCUCCUUGACAGUCAUCAAACGACAUAUCAUCCAUUUUUUUGCCCAACUCAAAAGUUGUUGUUUCUGCAUCUCUAGGUCCUCCAUUUGCACAGGUGAAUUGUGUUGGUUGUCAACAAAGCCAUACAUGUUGCCUAAAUCUUGAAAAAAAGGAACAUUGGAACCUAUCAGAUAUCCUUCUUUUCAUCAUUUCAUCGUCUGUUUAAGUUUGACAUUUUUUCUCUUUCCCCGUUUGUUUUUAAUUUGUUACCACCCCCACCUCAAGUCUUGGUGUGUUGUUCAACGUGUAGUCAUUUUCUAACACUUGAGCUGCCCCUGUUUUGCUGUAAAUGUACAGAGGUUCACCCCGAUCACUUGUUGGACCAAUGUCAGUUCCAUACGAGCAUGUCUCUUGCCCCUGCACAUGAGUUUGUACAAAGUUCAUCUCUUUUUAGCUUUAUCUUUUUUUAUCUUUUUUUUUUGGUUUUGUUUUAUGUGCCGCACCUGGGUAUUGAUUCUCUGAGAGCCUCCAUUCAGGUCAAUGUAUCCCUUCAACAGUGUCACAUAAGAGAAGUUUGGCUGUUUCAUCAACAUAUUUUUUUUCUGUUAGUUUCCACACAACUUGCAAGGCAUAAAAAUUACGAAGCAAGUUUUAACCCCUCCUUCAACCUGCAUGAAUACAACUUCUUGGCUUCCAAUACACAUAUCUUCUAUAUCCUCAUUCACACUGCUAUUAAACUGUAAAAUUCAAUGUUUUUCAGAUACAGUAUGAACUCAAGAACAUAUAUUUUUGAGGAACAAGCAGCAAGCAUUAAACCAGCAGAUAUGCAAGCAUUAGUGCCUUGCGUAGUAUUCAGUUUUUUCAUCUCAGAAGUGUCAUAAAAUGCUCAGCCAUAUUUCCAGUCUAUAGUUUUCAAUUUCAGUCAUCUUCAUUGCAGUCGGUCCAUGAUAAUUCGGCGAGGAGUUGCGUGGUAGGCGGACAGAAUAGGAAGCUGAUGCUCCUGCUGCUUUUCUCUUCUACUCAUCGUACCUGCCUCGGCCACCAUUGGCUUUGCGGCAUUUGGUAGGGUUUCAGAAAUUGCGUAAGUUUUCAUCAUCAGCCAUUCUUUUAGUCUUACUUUUUUUGUCUUCUCGAGUAUUCACUGAACAUUGAGUGAAAGAUCCCAAACUUUCUGCUCAUUGGCUGACACGGCGACGCUAUUUGGCGUACUAUGCGAUCAGGCCAUGGUAGCGCAAGGAAGGAUGUAGACGAAGCUAGCGGGAGAUUUGCUUUUCCCUUGUUCGUUUUUUGACAUUCCGUUGCUAUAUGGGAGUAUUGUUCAGAUUUGUCCUUUUUUUAGAUAACAUCACCGUAACUUGUCAGUAUUAGUGCUAUUCAAGUCAUGAUCCAGUCUGGACAAAUUUAAAAUUUAUCUUUUGUGUUAGUUUUUUUUGCAGUUAUGUAAAAGUGCCCGUAUUUUCCUUUUGUUUAGAUAAUAUUUCAAAAUCUGACCAGGAGAAGUGCUAAGCUCGUCGUGGUUCAGAUUUGGCAUUUAUCUUCAGUUUUCUUGUAGUAGUAAUGUAGAUGUAACGAUUAACUCAGCAAGUCUCCCACACUAGUUUUCAUGUUCAGUGAUUUCAUCAAUUAUUAGAUUCUUUUUCAUUUACUCAGGUUUCACUUUUUGCUUGGUUCAUAGUGUGAUUUUUAUUGAGUUCUUAUCUGCCAAGUAGAACAACAAGGACAACGUCAAUGAUCUAUAGUCAUCUAUAAUGAUUUGUAUUUCUAUAGUCAGUGUUUGUCAUUUUUGUCAGGUUAAAGUGAAGAAAGCCGGAUGGUCAUGUGCCAAUGCUCUGUUUUAUCUAGCUAUGCUGUACCUUCCUAUAUACAACGAUUAAUAUCUCCAGGGGAGGGGAGGGGGAUGAGUACCUCACUUGGGGCGAAGACAGUACAAGGGGCUGCGAUCUGGAUCGCAAGCAACAUCACAUGCAGUUGCAUCCAUGUCUCUCCCGCCGCCGUCACGCCUCCACAUAUUUCUUUUUUUUGUUACACGUGUGGGUCCUCUACCUCAAGACUUCGUUGGGUUAUGUUUUUAUCCGUGAUCACCAUGGACGUUGUGUGCUGGCAUGCAAUGAACGUUUUGAAGGGGUAACAUCACCUGAACUUGCUGAAGCAGUGACCAUUUGGCAUGCCUUGACAUUUUCCAGAGAUAAUGGUCACAGGUUUGUGCUUCUUAAUUCUGAUUGUCUCUCUGUGACUUUCAACGCAUUCAUUCUGAUGCCCUGGUUCGAUCUUUGUUGGGCUUGGUGAUAGAUGAUAUAAAGUCUCUGGUGGCUGACCUUCAUAGCUGUAUCUUCAAGCAUUUUCAUCGUGAUUUGAAUGUAGCUGCACAUCUAUUAGCUCACAAUAGUGAACAUUCAGUUUGUAAUAUUUCUGUUGAUGUAAUCCCGGAUACACUUAACGUAGCUGAACAUCUAUUAGCUCACAAGUAAAGAAGGAUGUUAUGUGUAUGUGUGUAAAUUUUUAGGAUGAAAUAUCUUAAAAUACGAUCUGCAAUCUUUUUAAAAAAAAAUCAUGUCCUGGGAUGAUGAAUAGUAUGAUGUGUUAAAAAGUUCCAGAUUUCUCUUUUGUGUA